GAUUGCUCCUGGCAGGAAGGUGCAAACACAGCUAAGAGGACGAGUUUGGAAAAAUUAGCGGGGAAAGAAGGCCCUGUUGUGCUAGGGCAGGAUAAUGACGCAUAAGAGAUGUAGAAUAAGUGGGACAUAUUGUCCUUUCGGGUUUAUUAUCGCCAAUGAAAUACCACUACUCCUAUUGUUUCCUUACUUACUUGAUUAAGUGGACCGUGUAUCAUUUAGCCUUUAUACGGACAUUGCCCAAAGUACUAAAGAGUUUUUGAACAAAUUUUAGUGACAUUGUUCGGCUUUUCGAUGCUUAUUCAAUCAAUAUUUUGAAUUAGGUAUAACUCCCAAUACUCAGGUAUGAUUCAAUUCACUAACAUUGCUGGGUAGGGAGUUUGACUGUCGCGGUAAAUCUCUCAAAUAAUAAAGCUAUCCCAAGGCCAGCUCAGUGCGGACAGAAACCACACAUAGAGCAAAAGGGCAAAAGCUGACUUGAUCUAGUUGUUCAGUACACAAAGACACAACAAAAGCUCGGCCUAUCGAUCCUUUUGGUUUAAGAAGUAUUUAAGAGUUUUCAUCGCAGGGAUAACUGACUUGUGACGGCCAAGCAUUCAUAGCGACAUCGCUUUGCGAUCCUUUCAUGUCGGCUUUUCCUAUCAUUGUGAAGCAAAAUUUCCCAAGCGUUGGAUUUUUCACAGAUGCAAGGGAACGUGAGCUGUGUUUAGACCGUCGUGGAACAGGUUAGUUUUACCCUAUUAACGAAAAUAUAUUGUUUUCUUCUCUGUAGUACAGAAUGAACCGCAGUUAUGGACCAAAAGCACAAUACUUGUUCGAGCGAACAGUGGCGUAACGCCACGUCCGUUAGAUUAUGGCUGAACGCCUUUAAAGUCGUGUCCGAGCUGGACUGCAAUGAUAAAAAUGGGGCAAUUGGUUUGUACGGAUUUUAAACCAUUUAAAGUUUAUCAUUUUUUUAUGAUAAACGACAAUGGAAUGUGAUGCCAAUGAUUUAUUGUAACAUAACAAAUGUAGGAGAACAUUAUCAUCUGUAUGCCGCGUUAGUUACAUUUAAAAGCAUUAUUUAAUACAAUAGCAAUGUCUAGAAUCAAUUGUAAACGACUUUUGUAACGGGCAAGGUGUUGAAAGUGGUAGAGCAGCUGCCAUACUGCGAUGCACUGAAGCUCAUCGUUAGUUUGACGAUUC
rnacentral:ncRNA from 1 species